AAAUUACUCCCUCCUUCCAAAAGUACUUGUCGAAGAAAUAGAUGUAUCAAGAUGUAUUUUAAUUCUAGAUACAUCUAUUUUUAUCCAAUCCUCUGACAAGUAUUUUCGGGAGUAUUAU
rnacentral:pre_miRNA from 1 species